CUCCGGCGCAGGGCGGCCACUGCCCCCCGCACACUGCGCUGCUCCGACCCACUGUGCGUGUGACAGCGGCUGUCCUGUCCUGGCAGCGCGACCGG
rnacentral:pre_miRNA from 1 species